GGAGGAAAGUGGAUCGUAAUUGACUCUGGUAGAGUUAUAGUUCAUGCUCUUGAUGAAAAGGCCAGAGCUUAUUACAAUUUGGAGUCUCUUUGGAACUCAGAGACAUUGGACAAAGAACCUGAUUUGGGAAACGCUUUGGUUAAGAUCCGCAGGAAAA